CAAACGGCAUCUAUUUACUUGAGGCUAUUUAACGACUAAAAUGAAGGGGAAGAAGAAAUUCUGGCAUUGGUUAUGCCAUGUCAAACAAGUGAACAUGUAUAUACAGGGACAUAUAUAUCUUGUGGCAGGGGUACUAGGCCACCAGACCUGGCAACCCCGCUUUUAAUUAAGCACCUACACCUGAGCCGUAACAGUUAGCUCGACCGCUACUGUGCAGGUGCAAGUUUUCACAAUAUACAAAACUCUCCAAACGACAAAAAAAAGUGACUGCUCCUCCGGUGAGAUGUCGGGAAACGGGUUAAUAUCCAGCAUCCGGAGGUUUAUAAACACUGAGGCGCAGCCGAGGACGAACAACAGCCAACCUAGCCCAUUUGAACAUCUACGUCAGCAGAUGGAUGACCUCCUGGGAGAUGGAGGGAUCUUGAAAGAGGUGGUCCAGCCUGGAGUAGGCCCUCCUGUGCCCCAGAAUGCUUCAGUAUUGAUCCAUUACUCUGGUUUCCUGGAAUAUUCAGAUCAACCUUUUGAAAGCAACACAUACAAUAAAUACCCACAGAUGUUGAAAUUAGGGAGAGAUGUGACACUGGCAGGAUUGGAGCUGGGUCUGUACACCAUGAAGAAAGGGGAGUUCUGUCGCUUCCUUUUCCAGCCUCAAUAUGCCUUCGGGGAGAUGGGUUGUCCUCCGUUAAUUCCUGCUGCUGCCACGGUUCUGUAUGAGGUUCAACUCCUCGAUUUCUUCGACUCAGGACAAGUGGAUGAAUUUCUCACACUGAGCCCGGAGGAGCAGAACACUGUUCCUCUUUCCAGAUUUCUCGAUGUUGUCGGCACAAUACGGAGCUUAGGCAACCGCUGCUUCAAGCAGAGCCGUUAUUACAAUGCCAAAGAUCGCUACAAACAGGCCAUGACACUGAUGGAGAGCAGGGGAUCACAGAGCGAGGCAGAGAAGGAGAGUAUCAAGACAGCUCUGCUUCCUCUCUACCUGAACCUUUCUCUCACUGAACUCCGUCUGGACAGCCCACAAAAAGCCCUGAAGUAUAGUAACAAGGUCUUAAAGAUUGACUCCAACAACACAAAGGCUCUUUUCCGCUGUGGACAGGCUUACCUGGAGCUGCAGGAGUACGAGAGCGCCCAGAGUUGCCUCAUAACUGCUCAAGCGAAGAGACCCUUUGACUCUGACAUUAACAAUCUCCUGAGGAAAGUAGCUUUACAUGAAAAGGAGAGGGGUGGCGACUGGGAUGAGCAUGAAAAGAUGCUCACUCACUGUGAAUUUUACAGAUAAUUUUCUGUUCUGUUCCCACAUUUUUUUAUUAUUUUUUUGGCUGGAAAAGUUCCAGAAAAAGUUUAGCGCAACAUUUGUGGAUUUUUGCAAUCUCACAUAUAGUGGGUCCUGGAUGUUUUCCAGGACAAUGGCCAGCCUUCAGUACAUGUCUGAAUGCAGCUUUAGUGUGUGGUGUAAGUGAUGUUAGCCUUAGCUGUAACCUAACAGGUUAUAUGUAAAUGACUGUAAUCACUUUCUAGAUUCUAUAAAGACAAUUUGGACAAGGAGAAAGACAUGUACUCCAAGAUGUGCAAAGACCUGAGGGGGCAGUGAUGAUGUAAAUGCAAGAGAGAGAAAAGAUGACAAAGCUUCAGAGUUCUGCAGCACAUUUUCUCUCCAGUUCAAGUGAAUCAAAAGUUACAUUUUCCAUCAUGUUUUUGAUUGUGUCAUGACGGUUGUGUUGCACAGAUGUGUCAUUAAUUUACUUUAAAAUAGGUGUUUACCAUUCAUCAAAUGGUUGUUAACACUGUGCCCCAAGAGUUAUUGUUUUGCAGAAUUGGCCUUUGUCACUGAGAUUAGUUUGAACAGUAAUGAAACCUACCAAGUGUCUGCAUUUUCUAUUAAGUUGCCACACUUUUUGAAAUAUGUUCCAAAUGUUUGUACUGGAUUGUUAAACAUUGACUUGGGGUUUGAUCACUGUUGGUGCUAAUGAUAAAAAUAAUAAAUAAAAAAAUAUUAUGUCAAAUCUAA